UUCGGUCCUUCUUCUUCUUCUCGUCUCUUGGUCGUUCACGAAUCUCCUCACUCCUCUCAUCUACUUCUUUCUCUUAUCUUCCCCUUCCUCUCUUCUUCGUGCGGUUCGCUCUGGAUUGGGAUCUCAGCACACGGGUUUAUUAAUCGGGUCGAUUCGGUAAUCAAUGGAGCCCCAAGAUGAAGAGGCUCAAUUGCAAGUGUUCCUCGAUCGUACCUCUCGAGCUACGAGGGGAAAACGAAUGACAAAACUGCUGGACGAGGAGAUUGAAGAAGACAACAACUUUUGGAACCAAGAAGCUUUAAAAGAGGAAGAGAAUGAUGUAGAAUACGAGGAGGAAGGAGAGGUUGCUGAUGUUUUUGAUAGUGACUUUGAUGAAGAUGAGCCCGAGGCAGAUGAAGAAGCGGAAAACGAACCAGAUGAGAGGACAAGGACUAAAAAGAAACUAAUAUUUCCUGGAAAGCAACCCCCAAAGAAGAGUAACAAGAAGAAGAAAGAGAAGGUGGUUUCAAAGUCAGAAAAUUCUUCUAAAGAUGAGAAAACUUCGGAUCAGUUGACUCCUUCAGAACAUCAUGAUGAUGCCCCUGAUGAUGCAGAGGCGGAGAAAGUUGUAAGAAAAUCUACAAGAACCUCUGUGGUUAUUAGGCAAGCUGAAAGGGAUGCAAUCCGUGCAGCAUUACAAACUACAAUAAAGCCUGUAAAAAAGAAAAAGGAAGGUGAGGAGAAAAGGAUGACCCAAGAGGAGAUGCUUCUAGAAGCAGCACAAACAGAGGUAAUGAAUUUGAGAAACUUGGAAAGGGUAUUAGCAAGAGAGGAAGAAGUUAAAAAAAGAGCUACUGUUCAUAAAGCAGUUUACAGUGGUCCACAAAUACGAUAUCUUUCCAAAGAUGGUUACUCGUAUAUAGAAUUCAUUAAUGGGUCUUCCUUUGGAUCAGAGCUCUCAACAACUUCUACCCCAUAUCCAAAGAAGGCAGUAUGUGCUGUUACUGGGCUUCCUGCAAUGUACCGCGAUCCAAAGACUGGUUUACCUUACGCAACAAAAGAAGCUUUCAAAAUCAUCCGUGAGAGGUGUGAUUUAGAGAGUAAGAGUAGUGCGUAUAUGCAGAAAAGCAACAUGGAGCUUUUGUCGGAUCCAACUUUUGAGAUAGGAUUCUCUCGUAAGAGAAAGAGAUCAGUGAUUCCGCGAGACAAGGAAACAUCUUACAUUCGGCCUUUUGCUCGUUUCCGGCGAAUGCCAGACUCUGAAGAGGAAGUAGAUGAUUCUGACUAACUCUAGCUCUGCUCACACCUUUAUCAGGUUUGGAAGCAUAUAGGUCCAUAGAAUUUGGGUAAUGUUUAACAUUGACAGUUGUCAAGAAAUCUUGAGCUCAAAGAAAGAUUAUUUAUUACUAUUAUCACUUUCAGCUUCACAAUCAAAAUGAUGGGCCGGCUGGAUAUCAGAGAAUGAGCUCUGUAGCUCGAUCGAUUGUAGCCGCUUGCUUCACUUACAAUUCACUCUAUUGAGGCAUUAUUGAUCACAUCUCAAUGUGCAAAUAAAUAGUACUAUUGCUUCUCUUGUGCUACAUUAUUUAUAUUUUUACUCAUGGAAUUUGGAUGUUGCCUUAUUAGAUAGAUAGCUUAUGCUGUAAAUUAACUGAUGGAUUCAAUUCGUUCAAUGCAACAGCUAUUGUUGAUUACCAAAA